rnacentral:rRNA from 1 species
AUUAGUGGCGAACGGGUGAGUAACACGUGAGUAACCUGCCCUUGACUCUGGGAUAAGCCUGGGAAACUGGGUCUAAUACCGGAUACGACCAUCUGACGCAUGUCAUGGUGGUGGAAAGCUUUUGUGGUUUUGGAUGGACUCGCGGCCUAUCAGCUUGUUGGUGGGGUAAUGGCCUACCAAGGCGACGACGGGUAGCCGGCCUGAGAGGGUGACCGGCCACACUGGGACUGAGACACGGCCCAGACUCCUACGGGAGGCAGCAGUGGGGAAUAUUGCACAAUGGGCGAAAGCCUGAUGCAGCGACGCCGCGUGAGGGAUGACGGCCUUCGGGUUGUAAACCUCUUUCAGUAGGGAAGAAGCGAAAGUGACGGUACCUGCAGAAGAAGCGCCGGCUAACUACGUGCCAGCAGCCGCGGUAAUACGUAGGGCGCAAGCGUUAUCCGGAAUUAUUGGGCGUAAAGAGCUCGUAGGCGGUUUGUCGCGUCUGCUGUGAAAGACCGGGGCUCAACUCCGGUUCUGCAGUGGGUACGGGCAGACUAGAGUGCAGUAGGGGAGACUGGAAUUCCUGGUGUAGCGGUGAAAUGCGCAGAUAUCAGGAGGAACACCGAUGGCGAAGGCAGGUCUCUG